rnacentral:rRNA from 1 species
AUGGCCAGGACAGCGACGGUGUGGGUGUGGGUGCUGGUCAUAGUGGUUGUGGUGGCGGGUGCAAUGGCGGCAAAGCCACGACACCCGGAGAAGCUUACUCCUUGCAGGACGGCGAACAAAUACGGUACUGCGCCCUCGGCGUUGUGUUGCUUUAACCUCUGGGCGCAGAAACAGUUCCUUUGCCUGUACUUGGCUAAUCCGAGGUACCAGCGCUACUUCGCGGGCAGCUUCGCCCGCAACACCGUCGUCUCCUGCGGCAUCCCCCUUCCACAGUUUUUCACGGGGCCUUCUGCCCCUCAAGCAAACGCGCCAUCGUCUGCAGUCCGUGGCGCCGUGCGUUCAGCGCUCCUGGCGCGCAGCUCAACCGCCAACCCCUUCACCAUGAACAUGGGUGGCACGUUUUUGUGGGCAUCAACUCGUGACAUCUGUGGCUGUGCUACUCGUGUGUUCUCGCCGAAACGGGUCAAGCGAGGGAUGGCAACGGCUCCUGUACGGCGUGGCGACCCGGGAGGCGAUUCCGAGGGCGUGGAUGUGGCAGCCCUCGGCGUGGCGGCGAGUGGCUGGACGGCGGUGUGCCCAGGUGAGGGGCUGGCGCAGCGGCGCCCGGCGGCGGGUGCGCGGCCUCCGGCUCCUUCUUCCUCGGGCAGCAGGUUCUGGGCGCUGUUGGGGGCCGAUCCCGACGACGACGAAGACGAGGAAGACCAGGUAAGUAGUCAGGUAAGUGAUGGGGGUUCGCCGAUGCCUCGUGUGGAGUGCUCGGUGGGUGACUUUGUCGCCCGGGUGGAGGAGCUUGGGGGCUCCUUCAAGGCCGGCCGCCGCCGUGCUUUCGCACCUGGUGGCCAUGGCAGGCGUCGCCAGGCGGUGCAGAUCUGGUGGCCGCCCAGGGGGGUGGACGCGGGCCCGGAGGGGCGUGCCUGUGCACUUCCGAUGGAGGGCCGGUGUGGCAUGGUGAUGUCGUCGUGGCCUUCGGUCUCGACGUGCUCGUCGUCGCCGUCAGGGGACGGUGGCGACGAUGGCGGCGGCGUCGCCCCCGCCAGGGAGCGGAGUCCCCAACCUAGGGUUGCGGUGGAUGGACCGGGAGUCGGGGUGGCGCUGGUGAGUGGGCCGUGCUCCCCUGGGCCGCAGGCCAAGUUCCCUCCCGUGGCUGAGCCCAGGCCCAGUGCGGGGUCAGACGCGCAGCGGCCGCCUCCCAUAUAUAAGUGGCUGUGGCUGCCGCGGGGUGCCCUAGAUCUCACACUAGGGUUUCCCGCAUCCCACUCGCAGGUGCGGCACUUCGGGCAUCUCGCUCGGCGUCUGAUCCGCUCCGCUCCUCCUCCUCCCCUCGAGAACUCAUUCGCGGUGGUGGUCCGGAUGGGAUCCCGACGCGUUGAGAAGCCGCCCAUGUCCCCUCCGAUUCCGGCGGCUGAGUGCCAGCGGGAGCUGGAUCUGCGGGCGCAGGCGCUCUCCAAGAGGCCAGCGGGCCAGCGGAGGACGGGGGAUGGGGGCCGCCGCCUCCCUGGUGGCUGGCUGAGCAAGAGUGGAAGCAGCAGGAGGAGCGCGAGCGCAAGAGGAAGAAGGAGGACCUUGUGGGACAAGCUGGGCCUCAAGGACAAGGAUCCGGAGGUCGUUGCCCCUGCGGGAGGGGGUGUGACUGACAUGGGCGAGCGGCAGGUCGGAGUUGGCAGCAAUGAGACGACGUUCAACCAGUACGGCUCCAACAUGUUGCUUGGCCUGGAGGGUGACAAGGGCUUCUCGGCCUCCUUCGACUCGGGGGGACGCUCGAUGCUCCUUUCCCCGGCGGGGAUGGAUGUGGGAGGAGUGCCCGCGCUCGGGGUGCGCUCUCCUCCUCCCCAGGCUGCGGUGGUCAAUGCUGGUGGAGCCAGGCGGGCUCCCAAGAAGACGGCGGGCCGCAAGACCCCCACGGUGGCGCCAGCGAUCCCCCCGUGGGUCGGUGCGGGCGCUCCGGCCUCGCUUUGGCCGAUGAUGAUCGCGCUGGCCUCUCCUGCUGGGAAGGCGGGCGGGUCGACGACGCCCGCCCCUCCUUCCUCCUCCGAUGCGCUUCGGGAAGCGGUGUCCAAGACGACGCCCAUCUCCACGGCCAAGCGCUCCAAGGCGGUGGCGGUGACUUCUCCUUCCCUGGAGCGGGUCAGCUCGUGCGCGAAAGGUGCCAAGGGCAAUCUUCCUUCGCUUCAGCGCGCCCAACUCCUCUUGGAGCAAAAGAACAUGGAGCUCGAAGGUAACCCCCACCUCGCUUUACGAUUUUUGAAGAUUACUCUGAUGAGCGCUUAG